UUGUGAUGAUGUGGGUAUCUUAUCAAUAAGGACUUGAACCUAUCCCAAGCCUAGUAUAAGUUCUCUCCUCCCUUCUAUUUAAAACUCAGAAUCUCACUUCGUAACUU